rnacentral:rRNA from 1 species
UACGUAGGUGGCGAGCGUUAUCCGGAAUUAUUGGGUGUAAAGAGCGCGCAGGUGGUUGAUUAAGUCUGAUGUGAAAGCCCACGGCUUAACCGUGGAGGGUCAUUGGAAACUGGUCGACUUGAGUGCAGAAGAGGGAAGUGGAAUUCCAUGUGUAGCGGUGAAAUGCGUAGAGAUAUGGAGGAACACCAGUGGCGAAGGCGGCUUCCUGGUCUGUAACUGACACUGAGGCGCGAAAGCGUGGGGAGCAAACAGGAUUAGAUA